CGAAGUACGGGUCAUAUCGGAGUACUGAUCAUAUCGGAGAACGGGUCAUAUUGGGGUACUGGUCAUAUCGGAGAAUGGGUCAUAUUGGGGUACUGGUCAUAUUGGAGUACGGGCAUAUCGGAGUACUGAUCAUAUCUUAGUAUUGCUCAGUUCGGCAUACUGCUCAUAUCGGCAGACAUAAUAAUGUCAUUUUGCGGAUGCUACUCAAUCAUAAUAGAUGUAUUUCACUUUUUGUCAUCAUGUGAUUCUUAUAAAUUGACUUUCAAUUACUAGAAUAAAGCUUGUAUGGUAACAACAUUUUCCUGUCUGAUAAUAUUGACCAAACUGAUGCUAGUUAAUGGCCACAUGUUUUCGAGAUUUCACAUUUGGUCGUAGGGAUUUUUUUUCAAGGUCAGUGAAUUGUAAAGGAAAUUUUAAUAAUGGUCAGUGAAAAAUGAAAUUUUAGAAAAGUCAGGGAAAAAUAUAAUUCUGGGUCAAUGCUUAAAAAGUUCAGUGGCUAUGACAGUCUUCAAGCAAUUUUUAUAAGUAUUUCCAAACAUAAUUAUUGUGUUGUAAUUGUGUAUACAUGUAUACAUUAUUUAAAUGAGUCUGAAUCAAUUUUGUGUUUUUUGUCAACUUUGGAAUUUUGAAGGCUGAAAUGCUUUGCAACCCUUGCCUCCAGAGCAGGCUAAUCCUUUACAUAUGAAAGGUUGGAUUGGAUGGCAGUUGGGGAGGAGGAGGCCGAUAAGAGAUGUUGGUAUUGGUCAGUGAAAAGUAUUGUAUAAUCAGGGAAAAGUUAAGGAAAGUCAGGGAAUUUCAUUUCUCAACUAAGUGGCAACCCUGUCAGUCUCCUGCUGUUUCCUUUAGUUAGCGGAGUAAUUUAGUAUAAAUAAAACAAAAGUCAAAGUCUUGAAAUAAAAUGUCCUGGAAACUGAAAUGUUAUACAACAGGAAUCUUAUUUAAUUCAACGUCCGAUACAGUGGAUUAUAAGUUCUAAUCAGUAAAUAUUUUCACUUUAGUGUUUCAUAUUUACAAUCGUAUUUGUUUCUAAUAUGAGAUGCAUUUUGUAUUUCCAAGUAAGUAUGUCUGCUUUAAAACACUCUGGUGUCAACUGUCGUACCCUGUACUGUGAACUCUUACAGACCCAGUCAGCUAGUAUCACAAGUAUCCUGGUCAUGGUCAACAUCAUGAUAACAGUGUCUCUAUCCACUACUGAAUGUUAACGACAAUUUUCUGCAAUGAAGCUCAUCAAGUCAGGCAGAUGCUCACAUAUGAACGGAGACACCCUUGAGGCUCUGAUGAGAGUUCACGCCAAUGGUCCGCCUGCAGCCCUGUUUGAUUUCCAGCCUGUCAUCCACCAUCGGAUAACCAGUGGCCCUGGUACUCGUCACCUCAAUGGCCACGAGCUACCACAGAAACCCAGAGUUGUUCCGUCUGACCGACAAUGAACAUGAUGACCUUGAUGAUUCCCGGGACCAGUAGUGCUGUACCAACUGCACAUGCAGUACAUAAGGACAAUGUUUUGAAUCUACUGUGCAGUUUGUGAACAUUUAACUAGUGAUAGAGUGUACAUGUCAAGUAGAUCUUCAUAUUGACAACAAUUUUAAGUACAUCUCCAAUUAAGGCUAGGCCUCGUUUAGGAGGAAGAACUUUGUAUUGACAGUGACUUGCAAGUUAAAUAUAAACUUUCUUUUUAUCCGAUGUUGCGACUAUUGUAUUACUUGACAGAGACUUGUAGUUUGUAUACUUAGAUAUUUAAGUGAAGUGUUUCUUCUAUCUGAUGUUGCAUUAUCUUCUACUUGUUCUUUCUAUUACGAAUAAAGAGAAUGAACUAUUGACCAUUUAAGCUCACCUGGUCCUGUGUUCACAAAACAUUUUUCGGUCUCAGCUGUGUUUCAGUUUGAAAUUUAUUUCCUAAUUAAACUGCAUGACCAAGAUCAAAUGCAUAGAGCAUCAUGUGGAUUUAAGAAAAUGGAAAUAAACAUUCAUGUUAUAAAAGUGGUAAUACGACAAAAUCUUCAGUUUUAAUAGAAAAUCAUUUUUAGCCAAAAUCUGGAGUCCAGUCCCUUUGAAAUAGCGAUUUGGUUUUAACAGUGUUUCAGGCUCAUUUAUUGAAAAAGUAUUAAAGGCACUAACCUACAUAUCUAACCAUCUAUGAUCUAACGUGUCACACA